ensembl:lncRNA
UUGUUCAUCAAAUCAUACUUUAUUGAAAGUUGUUUUUCCUUGUACUAAAAAUAAAACUAUUACAUUGAGUCAUAACCUGAAAUUGAACAGCAUCAACUAUAAAACUCACUGCUUGGCAAGGUGGAAACUGGCUUCAAAUCAUUCUAAGACGACACAAAACCACAUCUAGUGGGAAACAGACAAAUCCUUGUCAAAACGGCUCUACAUUUCAAGUGUAGAUCAAACUAUUGAAAACUGGCUGAAAACGUUCAUGAGAUUAAACACAAUUCAGGACACUAUCCAAAAUGAAACGAUUAGCACAAAUAUUGGUUACAAACUUCUUAUUUUAUAUUCAGCCAAUUACAUUUUAGAAAAAUAUAUCAAAUAUUUAUUUCAGAAAAAUAUAUUUGCAGACAGGAUUAUCCAUUUCAAAAAAAGGUUAACAAUUAUAUAACUUUAAAAAGUUUUUAACUUAUCAAUAUUACUAUUUACAUUUAUAUUUUCUGGCAGCUUUAGAAAGCAGUCUUGAUACUGGGACAAUACGUAUUUUAUUUCAUUUAAUACAUCCAUUGACAUUAAAGGAGUAUCCACAUUACAGUGUAAAGUUUCAGUAUUACUUGUGGCUUGAUGGCUCCUUCCUUAUGGUUGUGUGUAGACUACACUGUAGUGGUUAUCUUUCCAUUCAAACAGAAUGUUAGUAAGACGGUAUGAAAUCACCAUGUCUACUGUCUGGUUAGUAGCCAUUUCCCCCAUACCCAGUGUUAGGUAGUGUAAACAUGCGAGGCUAUACAUGAAGCAGUACAGUGCUUGUGGUUAAUAACAGCUAGAAAAGGCAAGGCACACUGAUAAAACGGUUCACAGCCACAUACACAAUGACUUGAUCAAGCACUCAAUCAAUCGAUCAUUCUCUUCAUCCUCAAGGAUCCUUCAGUUCUUCAAACGAUCUCUGAUCAUGACGAUAACCGAUCAAUACCCCAUGAUGUGGUUAAUGUGGCCCUGAGAAGAGACUCAUUAUGUGACACAGGUAAUCUUUAUGGAAUUAACCGUUUACAUGAUGGUAGCAUUCCAAAUGGCACCCUCUCCACUAUGUAGUGCACUAUGUGGGGAACGGGGUAGUGCACCACGUGGGGAACAGGGUAGUGCACUACGUGGGGAACAGGGUAGUGCACUACGUGGGGAACAGGGUAGUGCACCACGUGGGGAACAGGGUAGUGCACUACGUGGGGAACAGGGUAGUGCACUAUAUAGGGAAUAGGGUGCCAUUUGGGACUGAACCCAUGUCAUGUUCAUUAAUCAGUCCCUCCAGCAUUCUGAUGGGAUUUUUGCAGAGCAAACGGCUUGACUUUGCUGCGGCAAUCCUGACAUUUUGCAUGGCUAUGAUUUAGUCCAAUUUGUCGUGAAACUGAGCUGACGGGGGGGAAGAUUUGUUGAUGCGUGGCUUCAUUUAAACACAUUAUGUAGUAAAUGUACUCUGAUUGGUUGAAAUUGCAAGCCCUAUUUUUGUACUGCGGGCGAUGGGCCUGGUUUAUGUGACAACAUUGCGAUGAUUUGACUGUCGCACGUGGAAAGAGUGCAGUGAUUGGUCAAAUGUACAAGUCCCCGCAUAAUACGCAGGGAAUUAUUGAUUUAGCAAUAAAUAAAUACAAAUAAUUGCAGAAACCUGGAGGGACUGAUUAACCCGUUUAACAUGAAAAAGUCCAGAACGUCGACUCGGCCCAAGGUGAGCAUGAACAGCAAAGGGCUCCAUGGUCAAUAUGGUAGGUUCUUUAGCCCGAGGGACAGCCCUUCUAAAAUAGGCAUCUUUUAUUAUGUUGAUUUUAUAGGUGCAACAAUUGUCCCCAAAGUAAGAGACAUAAUAUCCCAUAUUAGUUAUUAGGAAUGUUUGACUAUAUGUGCUAUAGCUGUUAAAUCCCGAUUGCCACUGAUGAGACAUUAGUUUUGGUGUACAAAAUGCUGGGUUUAGGCCUAGACACUGACAUCAGUCACUACUGGGACAUGUUCAGGCAAAACAUCAGGACACUACUUACGGGCUCCCCUGCCAGGCACCGAUUACAACAUUGGCUGCCUUGGACUGCAUAGACCUGUACAAGAGACAACACGAGCCUGGAGGGUUACUACGGCAAUAAGUACACUCGAUUACUUAAUGGAUUGUCAUAUUGUAGUUCUGCAAUAAAACAUUUUUGAGGAUAAACACUGCAUAGAAGACAAGACUAUUCAAAGUAAAACGAAUUAUGACAGAAGGACAAAUCCACAGUGGAGUGAAAAGAUAUUCAAAUAUAAAAUGUCAACAGUGUGGCACUAGCCACAUUCCUUGGGUAAGGAUGAGAUGCAAUUUCCCAAACAGUUAUUGCUUCCUUGACAUCACCAGCAUUGAGGAAAAAAAACUGUCGUAAAGAUAGCCAAGGGUACACCUUAUAGAGAUACAGAUAUUGAGGAAGCAUGUUGUCAUGGAUACGCCUAGUGUCCCUUACUGCUUGACCUAUGAACCUUUAUUACGACUCCAGCGUCAUCAUGAUUCAAGGAGGAAAACAUGGACCGUAAAAACACUCCUGCAAAUGCAUGUGGGAGGCCAACUCCUUUCAAAUAUAGGCCUAGACUGGAGCAACAAAAGUAUCCAAAAUAGUUGAAUAUGCCCCCCAAAAUAUAUAUAUUCCAAAAUAAUUGAAUACGCAUAUCUACCAUGUUAGAAGCUGGGUGGUUGAUGCCGACACCGCUGUUUGGGACACCCUGCUGUUGCAUGCUGGCAUCCAUGGCACCGUCAGUCACCAUCCCGCCAUGUUCAACCCGGACGCAGACUCCCACUCCGUUGCACAGUCGUUUCUGAGGAUUCAG